AUGCUUGAUCUGGACUCCACGCUCAAGAUCGAUGUGCCGUGCUCUGAGCUCCAGGAGAUCGAGUUCAUCGGCCUUUUGUGCAUGCGGAUCGAGCUCGUUUCUGUCCCGAAGCUUAGGCAAGUAGUGUGCUAUCGUUGGCACUUGGAGAACCCUCCGGUGUGCUUCGGCUACGUUCCUGAGCUUCGAGGUGUAAUUCUCUCUUCUAAAGCCAAGGCAUGGCAAGAGCCAUUCGCGCUGAGUGAGUGCCUCUCAAGGAGUGCCAGGAACCUGUCGACACUGACUCUGUGUUUUGAGGGCCAAAUGAUUUGGAUUCAGCCAGAACACCCGAAGCAGCUCACUCCUAUAUUCAGAAACCUGACCACUGUGUUUCUUCUCGGUAUCUUCAGUGAGUGUGAUCUGAGCUGGACACUGUUUAUCCUUGAAGCUGCACCUGCCCUACAGGAUUUUGCAUUAUCUCGACAUUCAUGUAUCAAGACGCCCGAGGACAGUGCCGAGAAGACCAACAUGGUGUGGGAGCCAUCCAAGGAUUUGAAGCACCUGAACUUGAAGAUGCUUGUGAUCAUCGGGUGCGAGGAUGAAGACAAAGUGACAAACUUUAUAAGGCUUAUCAUGGAACGAGCUGUGGGGUUGUUGAAAAUCCAGCUGUGUGGUGAAAACCGUUGCAUGUACUGCAAUUGCACCAACCUUGAAAGAUCCAAGGCGGAAAAAGCUAGCAGGCGUCGGAUUAAGGAGCAACUCACACAUGGAACAUCCUCAUCCGUGGAGAUAAUUAUCUGUUGA
rnacentral:rRNA from 1 species